UAAACCAAGCUGCUGGCAAGAGGGGAGCCCUUGGGCAUACUCUGUCCUCUCCCACAAAGAUCUGCCAAAACGAAAGGGAAGGAGAGAAGAAAGGGAGGAAGAAGGGUCUCUGCCCUCACAUGAAGAGGAUCAGUCAGAGGGUUAGCAGUUUCUAUAUGACACAGCCCAUCAGGGUCACUUGAAGAGAGCAGCAAUAUGUCAGCAGAAUUCCACUCGUCCUCCUAUGAGAUUUCAUCAGAUGGGAAUGUGCAGAAAGAACAAAGCCUCACACUCUCUCUGUCACAUCAUAGCCAUUGUCGACAAUGGGAAAAUAUCACUCCAGAUCAGAGCUAAGGUCCUUCUACCUCAUUAUCCAAGCUCAAAGGCCAGCACCAGUUGCUUCAGAGAUCUGCAGGACUAUAACAAAGAAGAAGGCAGAAGGAAAAAGCUGACAAAGUAGGCAGCCAAGACAUUGGAAUCCUGAAAGGGAGAGGCAAAAUCCUGAUGAAACGCAACAAACAUCUGAGCCCUAACGAUAAGGAGUAAAUUUGUGACAGUGAGGGUAAUUAACCAUUGGUAGAGCCCUGCGCAGAUACAAAAUUUGUAUCUGCAUCCGAUUUGCGAUCCACAAACAUGGACUAUGGAUAUAAAGCAGAUACCCAUAGAUUUGCAGGGCUCAAGAUACAAUAUUUGGAUCUGCAUCCAUCCACGAUCCACAAACAUGCUCCAUGGAUAUAUCCAUGGAUAUAAAGCAGAUAUCUGCAGAUUUGCAGGGUUCUAACUUUUGGAACAAUUUACAAAGGCUAAUGGUGGAUUCUCCAUCACUGACAAUUUUUAAAUCAAGAUUGGGUGUUAUGCUAAAAGAUCUGCUGUAGGAAAUAUUUGGGGGAAGUUCUCUGGCCUGUGUUAAUCAUGAAGUCAGACUAUCAGUGGUCCCCAAUGCAGUGCCCGCGGCCACCAUGGUGCCCGCCGGGCAUCUAUGUGCACCCACAUACUGGCUGGUGGACAAGCAUCCACCAAAAUGCCGCCGAAAAGCAGCGUCACCAAGAGGCAUCGCUGUUGAAAUGCCACUGAUUUUUGGCUGAGACACUUCUUGACGUUGCCGCUUCUCGGUGGCUCGUCAUCUGGCGCCUGCCACCUGGAAAAGUUUGGGGACCACUGGACUAGAUGAUCACAAUGGUGUCUAGAUCAGUGGUUUUCAAACUUUUUCUGGGGACC